rnacentral:misc_RNA from 1 species
GGUUCGAUUAUGGCUCAGAUUGAACGCUGGCGGGAUGCUUUACACAUGCAAGUCGAACGGCAGCACGGACUUCGGUCUGGUGGCGAGUGGCGAACGGGUGAGUAAUGUAUCGGAACGUGCCUAGUAGCGGGGAUAACUACGCGAAAGCGUAGCUAAUACCGCAUACGCCCUUCGGGGGAAAGCGGGGGACCUUCGGGCCUCGCACUAUUAGAGCGGCCGAUAUCGGAUUAGCUAGUUGGUGGGGUAACGGCUCACCAAGGCGACGAUCCGUAGCUGGUUUGAGAGGACGACCAGCCACACUGGGACUGAGACACGGCCCAGACUCCUACGGGAAGCAGCGGUGGGGGAAUUUUUGGACAAUGGGGAAACCCUGAUCCAGCCAUCCCGCGUGUGCGAUGAAGGCCUUCGGGUUGUAAAGCACUUUUUGGCAGGAAAAGCAGCACGGGAUAAUACCCCGUGCAACUGACGGUACCUGCAGAAUAGGCACCGGCUAACUACGUGCCAGCAGCCGCGGUAAUACGUAGGGUGCAAGCGUUAAUCGGAAUUACUGGGCGUAAAGCGUGCGCAGGCGGUUCGGAAGAAAGAUGUGAAAUCCCAGAGCUUAACUUUGGAACUGCAUUUUUAACUACCGAGCUUCAGAGUGUGUCAGAGGGAGGUGGAAUUCCGCGUGCUUAGUGAAAUGCGUAGAUAUGCGGAGGAACACCGAUGACGAAGGCGGCCUCCUGGGAUAGCGACGCUCAUGCACGAAAGCGUGGGGAGCAAACAGGAUUAGAUACCCUGGUAGUCCACGCCCUAAACGAUGUCAACUAGCUGUGGGGCCUUCGGGCCUUGGUAGCGCAGCUAACGCGUGAAGUUGACCGCCUGGGGAGAUACGGUCGCAGAAUUAAAACUCAAAUGAAUUGACGGGGGCCCGCACAAGCGGUGGAGCAUAUGGUUUUAAUUCGAUGCCCGCGAAGAGCCUUACCUGGUCUUGACAUAGUAAGAACUUUCCAGAGAUGGAUUGG